UGGCGAACGGGUGAGUAACGCGUGAGGAGCCUGCCUCAAAGAGGGGGACAACAGUUGGAAACGACUGCUAAUACCGCAUAAGCCCACGACCCGGCAUCGGGAAGAGGGAAAAGGAGCAAUCCGCUUUGAGAUGGCCUCGCGUCCGAUUAGCUAGUUGGUGAGGUAACGGCCCACCAAGGCGACGAUCGGUAGCCGGACUGAGAGGUUGAACGGCCACAUUGGGACUGAGACACGGCCCAG
rnacentral:rRNA from 1 species